rnacentral:sRNA from 1 species
UUGCGUUAGGGAUUGCAGCGAAAAUCCUUUUUGUGGCGAAGUUUACGAGCCAAAAAAAGAUUGCAGCGAAAAGCCCGACCCGCA